rnacentral:ncRNA from 13 species
CGUUUCACAACGGAGCUCGUUCUGAGAUUAUACGGCGUUGAACUUGAUCUGGAUAAUACCAGCGAAAGGAUCAUGCUCUCUCCGCCC